GCGGGUAUAGCUCAGUGGGAGAGCACAUGCUUAGCAUGCACGAGGUCCUGGGGUUCAAGCCUCAGUCCCUCCA
rnacentral:tRNA from 1 species